UACGGAGGGGACUAGCGUUGUUCGGAAUUACUGGGCGUAAAGCGCACGUAGGCGGAUUUGUAAGUCAGGGGUGAAAUCCCGGGGCUCAACCUCGGAACUGCCCUUGAUACAGCAUGUCUUGAGUCCGAUAGAGGUGGGUGGAAUUCCUAGUGUAGAGGUGAAAUUCGUAGAUAUUGGGAAGAACACCGGUGGCGAAGGCGGCUCACUGGUCCAUUACUGACGCUGAGGUGCGAAAGCGUGGGGAGCAAACAGG
rnacentral:rRNA from 1 species